rnacentral:lncRNA from 1 species
AUGAAAAUCAUUGGUAAUUUUUAUGUUUUGUUUCGGGAACUGCACUAUCCUUUUCAGAAAGACAUAAGCUUGGUUCAGCCCAGAUGGGAGUGUUCUAGUAGCUACAUUAAUAAACAGGGGCGUCGAGACAAAGCCCCGGGCCCAAGAAGAUGGGAAGUGAAAAGACGGGUGUGUAUGUCCCACACGCUCCCUGUUGGCUUGGGCGACAGAUGAUAUAGCCGAAAGCUAGGGUGGGCGCCAGGAGACAGAGGACGUGGAGUGGAGGGAACUGGAGGCGUGCGGCGGCCGCCCGCCGGAGAGGGAGGCCUGCGAAGGGUGGGGUCGUGGCGUUGAGAACAGAGCGACCGUGCUUCUCCCACCGGCUUGCGCACCACCGGGAGUCACCCACCGACACUCCAGCCUGCGGGACCCCACGGUCUGACUCUGGCUCGCUGGACCGCGGAACGCUCCCCUCACCCGGGGUCCCGGAGACUGGAGGUGCGUUUCUUUUUCUCUUUUCUUCCUCGGCCCACUACGAACCCGGAAAGGUAGCUUGUUCCUCUCCCGCGUCGUGUGCAGGCGCCGCGGGCUGUGGGUAAUUAGAUGCGUUCUUCCCUAAUUGCCCAAGGCUCGUUAGAAUUCGCCCCAGAGCUGUAACAUUUAUUUUCUUCCAAAUUAACGUUGCUUUGCAAUUAAGCUUAGGAAGCCAGCAACAAAAGCCGACUUGGCCCAAGGUCGUUUAGUACGAAAACGGAUUAGGGAAUCUUCUUCCCGAUUUGAGCGCUUUGGGCAAAGCUCGGACAGCAGAAGCCGAGAGGGGGAUGUCGUUGGCAGCAGCGAUGACCUUCAUCGGGGCGGUGAUUUAUGUUCCCAAACGAGAAAACAGAGCCUCGGUGGGUGAACUAUCUCGUGGACAGUUUGGGCAGAACUCCACACCGAGGACAUGAAGCUGCUGAAGGCGGUUACAGUUUACCAAAUACAUUCAUAAACAUAAUCUCAGUACUAAGAGCUCUGUGAAAUGUUUCCUUUAUUAAAAUUAUUUUUCUUAUUAUAAAAUCAGGACGUGUUCAUUGUUUUUAAAAAUACAAAACAGGAGGCUGAGGAGGGAGGAUCACCAGUUAGAGG